GAGAAACUAAGAGAACAAGUUGAGGAGCGCUUGGAUUUCUAUGACAAGGGGGUUGCACCCCGUAAAAACAUUGAUGUGAUGAAAGUUGCAAUUGAAAGUGUUCAGAAUAAAGAUGUCGACAUGGAAACAGAAGAGGCUGUACCUUCAGAAAAGAAAAGCAAGAAAAAUAAAUCAAAAUCUGAGGCUGCAAAAGUUGUUGAACCUAUGGCUGAUGAUAAACCAACAGUUGCUACAAAUGGAGAUGCUUCAGAGG
rnacentral:misc_RNA from 1 species